GUUAAAAAUCUAUAUUAAGAGCUAAGUUUAUAUUAAAAAGUCAAUUCAUUAAGUAUGUUAUUAAUGUUAAAGAUUAAAAACAUAUUUGUCUAAAAAGCAAUUCAACUGAGAGAGAAAAUAAAUAGGAAGUUUAUUUUGAAGGAGGUGGGUUGGGGAUGUGCUGUCAGCCAAUCAGGAAGAAGCUCGGACUGUUGACCUGCACGGAGCAGAGUUCACUUCCCCUUGAGCUGUUGGAAGAACGGAGAGCAAACCCCACGUCGAACGAUACCUACCUCGUCAAGACAUUCCAAUAGAAGUUGUUAAAACUCAGAAUAAAAACUCUUAAAAACAAUCCAGUGUGGAGCCCUGGACCUGUGAGAGUGCAGCCGGAGAGAAAUGACGUCCCCUCACGAAGAAAACGCAUCGGUCAGGUUUUUUUUGUUGGACCCUUUGAACCUUUGAUCUACCUGGAUGUUGGAGCCUGGAUCGAGACAUUGAUGGCGAGCCACAGCCCAGAGGAGAACUAGAGAUACGGCGCCUGCAGAUUUCAACACUUCAUUACACACACACGCACCCACCACCAACUGUGCGGUAGGACAAACUCUCUCCACUUCCACAGUGGACCAAACUGAACUGAAACAGAAUUGAAGUGACUGAGAACGGGGGGGGAAAUUCCGAACUUUAAAUCACAGCUGUGAGUUUUGUUUAAAUUUUUUAUUUUUCUACUUACCCGGGUAAGAUUUGUGUAAUUUUAAAGUGUUUAAUUUUUAUAUGUUUUGCUAUCCUUCCCACACUUGUAAUAAAAGGGAAGCGAUUUUGUUUCUCAAAGAAA